CGCAAUGGAAAGCGACUUGGGACGUCCUAGUCAAUUGAGAGUGGAAGGAUUAGACCAAUGGUAACUUGCGCAGGCACGUGCGCCACGUGAUAUACGUGUAAGGCCUUUAUUAGGCUGCAAGAGGCCAUAUUACAGCCUUUGGAGGCCUGCACCCGUAGGUGACGGUGUUAUAACGCCAUGGCGCAAUGGAAAACCACUUGGGACGUCAUAGUCCAAUGAGAGUGGAAGGAUUAGACCGAUCGUAACUCGCCCAGGCACGUGGAACAACGCGAUUUGUGUGUACGACCUUUAUUAAGCUGCAAAAUGCCAUAGUACAGCCUUUUAGAGGCCUGUACGCGUAGUUGACGGUGUUAUAAAGUCAUGGCGCAAUGGAAAACAACAUGGGACGUCGUAGUCCAUUGAGAGUGGAGUAAUUAGACCAGCGGUAAUCUGCGCAGGCACGUGCAACCAUGUGAUAUACGUGAAAGGCCUUUAUUAUGCUGCAAGAGGCCAUAUUACAGCUU